rnacentral:rRNA from 1 species
GGCGGACAUGAAGUGGCGAACGGGUGAGUAACACGUGACCAACCUGCCCCCCUCUCCGGGACAACCUUGGGAAACCGAGGCUAAUACCGGAUACUCCCUCCCCUGCUCCUGCAGGGGUCGGGAAAGCCCAGGCGGAGGGGGAUGGGGUCGCGGCCCAUUAGGUAGUAGGCGGGGUAACGGCCCACCUAGCCCGCGAUGGGUAGCCGGGUUGAGAGACCGACCGGCCACAUUGGGACUGAGAUACGGCCCAGACUCCUACGGGAGGCAGCAGUGGGGAAUUUUGCGCAAUGGGGGAAACCCUGACGCAGCAACGCCGCGUGCGGGACGACGGCCUUCGGGUUGUAAACCGCUUUCAGCAGGGAAGAAAUUCGACGGUACCUGCAGAAGAAGCUCCGGCUAACUACGUGCCAGCAGCCGCGGUAAUACGUAGGGAGCGAGCGUUAUCCGGAUUCAUUGGGCGUAAAGAGCGCGUAGGCGGCCUCUCAAGCGGGAUCUCUAAUCCGAGGGCUCAACCCCCGGCCGGAUCCCGAACUGGGAGGCUCGAGUUCGGUAGAGGCAGGCGGAAUUCCCGGUGUAGCGGUGGAAUGCGCAGAUAUCGGGAAGAACACCGAUGGCGAAGGCAGCCUGCUGGGCCGCAACUGACGCUGAGGCGCGAAAGCUAGGGGAGCGAACAGGAUUAGAUACCCUGGUAGUCCUAGCCGUAAACGAUGGAUACUAGGUGUGGGGGGCUCCGCCCUCCGUGCCGCAGCCAACGCAUUAAGUAUCCCGCCUGGGGAGUACGGCCGCAAGGCUAAAACUCAAAGGAAUUGACGGGGGCC